rnacentral:miRNA from 1 species
GGAUGACUGUUGCCAAGGUGUUG